rnacentral:rRNA from 1 species
UACGGGGGGAGCAAGCGUUGUUCGGAUUUACUGGGCGUAAAGGGCGCGUAGGCGGUCAGCACAAGUCAGUUGUGAAAUCUCCGGGCUUAACUCGGAAAGGUCAACUGAUACUGUGCGACUAGAGUGCGGAAGGGGCAACUGGAAUUCUCGGUGUAGCGGUGAAAUGCGUAGAUAUCGGAAGGAACAUCAGUGGCGAAAGCGGCUUCCUGGACCAGUACCGACGUUCAGGCACGAAAGCGUGGGGAGCAAACAGG